rnacentral:rRNA from 1 species
GAAAUCUAUUUAGGUAGAGCGUCACGAUAAGACUCCUGGGGGUAGAGCACUGGAUGGACUAGGGGGCCUCACCGGCUUACCAAAUCUUACCAAACUCCGAAUACCAGGAAGUUAUGCGUGGCAGACACACGGCGGGUGCUAACGUCCGUCGUGAAGAGGGAAACAACCCUGACCACCGAUUAAGGUCCCCAAAUUAUAGCUAAGUGUGAAAGGAUGUGGGGUUGCUUUGACAAUGAGGAGGUUGGCUUAGAAGCAGCCA